rnacentral:lncRNA from 1 species
UAAGGGCUUGUGGCGCUGACACAGACUUCUGCCAACUUCAUCAGCUGCAUUCCCAAGAGAUACAAGGUCGUAGCUACAGCAGUCUGCUCCAAACACCCAGUAAAGAUUUGGUCCUUCACAGAGAAAAACAACAGCUGCCAUUUACAAGUAACGGCUUGCAUUCGAGGAACUUGGACAUCCACCGAGUGACCACAUUGACCCAGUUGCUGGUGCACUUCUGAGUUCAAAACAACCGCGGAGCAUCUGGACCGCUCUUAGUGCUUCCUCCUGGCAGGAGGAAUGGAAAUCUGACAAGUCCCCAUGGAUCUGAGACUUGGGACAAAUGGUAUCAGCUCCAGGGGCUGAACUCAAAGCACACCCAGCAGUACCAGUGCUACGAGCUGUGGCUUUUAGGAGAAAGUUGGUGGUAACGA